rnacentral:misc_RNA from 1 species
GCCUACUGUUUAAUUUUGAGGGUUCGUUUUUACGAAUACUCAAAAUUAGCACUUUAAGCAACGGGAGUUAUCCGUUGGCGCUGUGCGUUAGCACUUUGAAAACUGCAUAUAUAUAUUUAGUGAUAUGACAUCUAAUUUGUAAUAUAUAAAGCUGAUAACUUUUUAAAAUUAUCGAAGUUGAUAGCUUCUAAUCUAUCAAACCUUUUUAACUGGUCAA